rnacentral:rRNA from 1 species
AGAGUUUGAUCAUGGCUCAGAUUGAACGCUGGCGGAAUGCUUUACACAUGCAAGUCGAGCGGCAGCGCGGGGGCAACCCUGGCGGCGAGCGGCGAACGGGUGAGUAAUGCAUCGGAACGUGUCCUUAAGUGGGGGAUAGCUCGGCGAAAGCCGGAUUAAUACCGCAUAAGCUCUGAGGAGGAAAGCGGGGGAUUCGCAAGGACCUCGCGCUGUUGGAGCGGCCGAUGUCGGAUUAGCUAGUUGGUGGGGUAAAGGCCUACCAAGGCGACGAUCCGUAGCUGGUCUGAGAGGAUGAUCAGCCACACUGGAACUGAGACACGGUCCAGACUCCUACGGGGGGCAGCAGUGGGGAAUUUUGGACAAUGGGGGCAACCCUGAUCCAGCCAUUCCGCGUGAGUGAAGAAGGCCUUCGGGUUGUAAAGCUCUUUCGGACGGAACGAAACGGUUAGGACCAAUACUCCUGACUAAUGACGGUACCGUAAGAAGAAGCACCGGCUAACUACGUGCCAGCAGCCGCGGUAAUACGUAGGGUGCGAGCGUUAAUCGGAAU